rnacentral:lncRNA from 1 species
ACGACGCCUUCCCACGGUCAUCACUAGUACCUGAAACAAAAAACAUCAACACUGUAAGCUCAAAGCUUAGUGAGUUCCCCAAAAUACCGCGCAUAACACAUAUUCGCCACUCGAGGCUAUAACUCUGUGGGUCCGUAGACCCUACUCUGUGAACCCUAUGGGAACCUUCCGGUUCCAACUCUAUAAACAUGCACAACAUAAAUCACAUAGAAAUAAUGUAGUACAACACAUAACAUACAUAUAGCAUACAAAUACUCUGUCACAUAACUCUGAUUACCUACUCAAGGUAAAGUAUAGUGAGAAGACUCACCUCGCGUAUCUCGAUAACUCGAAAUUCCCGGAAAUCACUCGCGCUCGAUCCUCCGAGCUAUAAUCCUCCUAUAACACAAUAUAUCUCUAAUUAACACUUUCUCAACUAAGGUUGACUACCCCUAUCAAGUCAACACUGGUCAACUCUGGUCAACGGUCAACUUUGACCGGACUCGGCGAGUGCACUAGAGCGACUCGGCGAGUCUAUACGUGUUCACUGACUCCCUAGGAUCCUCUCUUGACACGUCGAGUACUUCCCUAACUCGACGAGUUCCACCUGGCAUGAAUCGCGGGGCCACCACGACUCAACUCGCCGAGUCUCAAGAACAACUCGGCGAGUUCCAGCUUGACUCAGCCCACCUGUCAACCCUCUCUGACUCUCCCUGACUCACUGAGUCAACCCCUUAACUCGGCAAGACCACUCGCUGAGUGGUUAUGGACAAUCUUCAUGCUACUCGCCGAGUCUGUUCUUCGGACUCGGUGAGUCUAAGCGAUGCAUGAACUCAAACUCACUCCUGAGGUCAGAUCCGUUCCACUAACUCAUAGAUCCAAUCCUUCCAAGCAAAUUCAUCACGUAAAGUUACAAUCUUGGUGCUCAUGCAAAGGUCCAAAGGCCUUAUUUGAUGAUAUGGUCUCUAGAAUGCUAUUCUAAGCUCAUGGCCUCCAUUAACACUCAUAAAGCUUGAGGGAAAAGAGUCUCUAGACCUCUUUGGGUCCAAAUCUAAAGAAUCAACACAAAAAGAGGCCAAUCACCCCAUUAAUCAUUCCACAAAGAAGCCCUUAACUCUAAGAUUUGCACCAAGGGCUGAGAAAGGAACGAAUGGUUACCUCAAAUGAAGUCUCUGGACACAGGAAUCACUGGAUUAGCACCUCCUUGGUCUCCUCUUGCCUUGAUCCUCUUCUAUAUGCAAAAUCACCCACAAAUAAUCAAAGAUCCUCCUCUUCUCUCUCACAAAACGCUCAAGGACUCUUUUAGGGUUCUCUCUGGGGUUGGUGGCCGCAAAUGACGGCCAUAAGCCCCUUUAAAUAGGUCUCAUACCCUAGAAAUUAGGGUUUCAUUAAACAGCAUGGACUCGCCGAGUCCGGACGCGAACCCUUUCCCAAACCGCGAUCAUACUCGGCGAGUUUGAGCUCCAACUCGCCGAGUCUCCUCACAAAACACCAAAAAUUAGAAGAAUAAAUUAAUACCUGGGAAUCCGGGCUGGUACAAUUCUCCCCCACUAAAACUAGACUUCACCCUCAAAGUCUCGCUCUGCAAAUAACUCCGGAUGCUGCUCACGCAUCUCACGCUCCAGCUCCCAAGUCAUCUCGGACCCCUUCCGAUGCUGCCACUGAACCAAAACCAAGGGUACCUCCUUGUUCCUCAGAACCUUGAUUUUCCGAUCUCUGAUUGCCACUGGUCUCUCAGCAUAAUUCAGGCUCGCAUCCACCUGAAUAUCCUCUAAUGGAACCACUGCCGACUCAUCGGCUAUACACUUCCGCAGUUGCGACACAUGGAAAGUGUCGUGAAUCUGCCCCAACUCUGCUGGCAAAUCCAAACGAUAGGCUACCCGGCCUACCCUCGCGAUCACUCGGAAUGGACCAAUAUAUCGGGGCCCCAACUUGCCCCUCUUCCUGAAUCGAAUCACUCCUUUCCAAGGAGAGACCUUCAGGAGUACAAGGUCGCCGACCUGAAACUCAAGCUCGGACCGGCGUCUGUCUGCAUAACUCUUCUGACGACUCUGAGCGGUCAACAACCUUUGUCUGACCUGCUGGAUUUGCUCUGUCGUCCGAAGCACGAUCUCUGUACUGUUCAUCACCCCUUGUCUAACCUCUCCCCAACAAAUGGGGGUCCGACACCUCCUCCCAUACAACAGCUCAAAGGGUGGCAUACCAAUGCUCGAAUGAUAUCUGUUGUUGUAGGAAAACUCUGCCAAGGGUAAAUACGCAUCCCAGCUACCCCCGAAAUCCAACACACAUGCUCGGAGCAUGUCCUCAAGCGUCUGAAUCGUCCGCUCACUCUGACCGUCUGUCUGGGGAUGAUAUGCGGUACUAAAAUGCAGUCUAGUACCCAACUCCUCAUGAAACUUCUUCCAGAAUCUGGAAGUGAAACGCACAUCACGGUCUGAAACAAUCGAGAUCGGCACCCCAUGCCGAGAUACCACUUCCCUCACAUAUACCUCUGCCAGUUUCUCUGCUGAAGAACUCUCGCUGAUAGCAAGAAAGUGAGCGCUCUUCGUGAACCUGUCCACAAUCACCCAAAUUGCAUCAACUCCUCUGGUAGUCCUUGGCAAUUUGGUGAUGAAAUCCAUGGUGAUCUAUUCCUACUUCCAUUUGGGAACCUCCAAUGGCUGCAACUUACCAUGCGGCCUUUGGUGCUCGGCGUUAACCCUACGGCAGGUCAAGCACCUCUCAACAAACCACGCAACAUCCCUCUUCAUACAGGGCCACCAAUACUCCUUUCUCAGAUCCAAAUACAUCUUAGUGGCCCCCGGAUGGAUCGAAAAUUUCGACCGAUGAGCCUCCUCCAUCAAAAUGGUACGCGUUCCUCCCACAAACGGCACCCAGAUACGCCCCUGAAAUGUCAUAAGCCCCCGACCAUCGGUAACGAACUCUGAAACCAAACCAACAACUCGUUCUUUCUUCUACAUCUCAGGUUGCACAUCCUCGGCCCGUACCCCACGAAUGGCAUCCAACACUGGAGCUAUCACAGUCAAUCUCAAACAUACAUCCCACAAUGGGGUGCUCUCUGCACUGCGGCGCAGUGCAUCGGCUACAACAUUAGCCUUGCCUGGGUGGUACAGGAUCUCACAAUCAUAAUCCUUGACCACAUCCAACCACCUUCUCUGUCGCAUAUUUAGGUUGGGCUGAUCCAUCAAAUACUUCAAACUCUUAUGGUCCGUGUAUAUCGUACACCGAACCCCAUACAGGUAGUGACGCCAAAUCUUGAGGGCGAACACCACUGCCCCCAACUCUAGAUCAUGGGUGGGAUAUCUCGUCUCAUGAGGCUUCAGCUGCCUCGAUGCAUAUGCUAUCACAUGCCCUCUCUGCAUCAGCACCGCUCCCAACCCCAAAAUCGAUGCAUCACAGUAUACCACAAAGUCCUCCAUCCCUUCCGGGAGAGCUAACACCGGGGCUUCGCACAACCUUUGGCGAAGUGUCUCAAAGGAGGCCUGCUGCUCGGGGCCCCAUGAAAAAGCAACACCCUUCCGGGUCAAUCUGGUGAGUGGCACUGCGAUCUUAGAGAAAUCCUUGAUAAACCUCCGAUAAUACCCUGCCAACCCUAGGAAACUCCUGAUCUCGGAGGGUGACUUCGGCACCUCCCAACUCAUCACUGCCUCAACCUUGGCCGGAUCGACCAAUAUCCCUUCCUGGUUAACGAGAUGUCCUAAGAACUGGACCUCCCGCAACCAGAAAUCACACUUGGAGAAUUUGGCAUAAAGCCUCUCCGAUCUCAGAACUCCGAGAACCUCUCUCAAAUGCUCCUCAUGCUGCUCUCUAGAUCUCGAAUAUACCAGAAUGUCGUCGAUAAAUACAAUCACCGACCGAUCCAGCAUCGGCCUGCACACUCGGUUCAUGAGAUCCAUGAACACUGCCGGGGCAUUGGUGAGCCCGAAAGGCAUCACCACAAACUCGUAAUGCCCAUAACGCGUCCUGAACGCUGUCUUCUGGACGUCCUCAUCUCGCACCCUCACCUGAUGAUAUCCAGACCUCAAAUCGAUCUUGGAGAACCAAGAUGCUCCCUGCAACUGAUCGAACAAAUCGUCGAUCCUCGGCAACGGGUAACGGUUCUUGACCGUCAGCUUGUUCAACUCCCGGUAAUCAAUGCACAUCCGGUGUGAACCAUCCUUCUUCUUGACGAACAGGAUAGGCGCUCCCCACGGCGAGCUGCUCGGCCGAAUAAACCCCUUCCCCAGCAGCUCCUGAAGCUGCGAGGAUAACUCUUGCAUCUCUGGAGGUGCAAGGCGAUAAGGCACCUUAGCGAUAGGCGCGGCCCCCGGAACCAAAUCGAUACUGAACUCCACUUGCCUCACAGGAGGCACACACGGCAACUCCUCAGGAAAUACAUUCGGGAACUCACGCACUACCGGAACCUCUUCAACUGACCACGGUCUCUCUAAAUCCACCCGCGUAUCCAUCACAUACGCCACAAAACCCUUACAGCCCUGCUGUAGACACUGCCUCACCCUAGCGGCCGAAUAAAACAUUGAUCCUGAACGUGUACCCUCUCCGUACACCGUAAGAACUCAUGGUCACCAGCUGUCGCUCACAGUCGAUAACCGCACCGAAUCUGCUCAACCAGUCCAUGCCCACAAUGACACAGACAUCACCCAUCGCAAUAGGAACCAGAUCAAUCGGGAACUCAACAUCGAAAAUCUCGACUACGCACCCUCGGAGAACCUCCGUGGCGUAUCUCACCCUCUCGUCAGCUAUGGAAACUCUCAGAGGCCGACUCAAAGCCUCACGACUAACACUGAUAUGCUGACUAAAAUCCAAAGAUACAAAAGACCAACUCGCACCCGAGUCAAAUAACACCAAGGAAGGUACAUAAUUCACAAGAAAAGUACCUACGCAUAACAUAAUAUAAGCAUAAUAUCUCAACAUCAAAAUAAAUCCACGAAAGAAUACAUACCAGCCACGACAUCGGGCGUUGCGCGGACCUCCUCCGCGGUCAACUGAAAAGCUCUCCCUCAUGCCUUUGGCGCCUCGGAAUACUCAGAUAUCGGCUCAUACGACAUCGGGCGUUGCGCGGACCUCCCACGAGGAGUUCGCCGCGAACUCCCGAAUGUCUCUCCUCGAAAUACUCAGAUAUCGGCUCAUAUGUGCCUGCUCGGUGGACACGUGCUCAGGGCAGAACAUCGCCCUCUCAUGGAACAUCCUGGUAAUCGUCGUAACAGACUCAGUACCCUGCUUGAGGGUCAGAAACUCCUGGGCCAAACGCUCCCUCUCCACCUGGGGAACGUACUCAUCUUAGAACAUGGUAGUGAACCUCUCCCAAGUCACUGCCGCAAGCUCAGCAGGUGUAAAGUGCGCCGUCACAAACUUCCACCAGUCCUUCGCUCCCAAGCGAAGCUGGUUCAGUGCGAACCGAACCUUCAAAUGCUCAGGAGAUGAGCAAGUGAAGAAAUACCCCUCUAUGUCAGAAAUCCAUCUCAUAGCCGCCACCGGGUCCUGGGUCCCAUCAAACUCCGGCGGUUUUGUGUUGCUGAACUCUCGGAACAGCAACGCAUCACCACCCUGCGGCCUCGCGACAGCAAUAGCUGCGGUGGCCGUUGCAACAGCAGCCUCAGAAAGAGCGGCAUAACGCUCGUCAAAGGUCUCAAUCAACGUGGUCUUAAUAGACCCGAACAUCUCUGGUAUCUCUGCCCUGAUGGCCGCAGCCACCUCCUCAUGGAUGAUCCGGCGGAUCUCCUCAUCACUGGUCUCACUGCUCUCAGGCAUCAGACGUGUCCUCACCAUGAUCUACCUCUGAAAUAGAACAUACGAUAAAUUAGAAUCCAUUCGAGCAUACUCACACUCGACAACUCAUCCCUCCUUGAUCCUUGGUAUUCCAAAGAUUCCUACUUGGGCUGUACACCGCUCCGGUGCUUUCAGUAGUACGGGCCCAAUACUACUGUCUGCACCGUAUCAGGAUACACCCCAAGUCUUCCACUUCGGAUUCCAAAUCCCAAGUACUCUAUCAUGCAUAAUCCACUCUCUAACAGAUCUCUCAUAAGCCCCUCGCUGCUACCUACUCACUCUCAAUCAUCUCAUAGCAGCUCACCUCUCCCUAGGCUAAGGCAUCACAAAUCAGGCCACUUUAGUCCUAAUAGGAGUACCUAGCCUACUCUAGCAUGAGAAUACAUCAUAUCAAUAUAAAUAUCACAUAACAUGAGGGUAUUUUGGGAAAUCACUGUUCGCGCGCGGACUGAUCGUACACACAACUCAGCUCUGCGUUCUUCCAAACAACAUCAACACUGUAAGCACAAAGCAUAGUGAGUUCCUCAAAAUACCACGCCUAACACAUAUUAGCCACUCGAGGCUAUAACUCUGUGGGUCCUUAGACCCUACUCUGUGAACCCUCUGGUUCUAACUCUGGGAACCUUCUGGUUCCAACUCUAUAAACAUGCACAUCAUAAAUCACAUAGAAAUAAUGUAGUACAACACAUAACAUACAUAUAGCAUACAAAUACUCUGUCACAUAACUCUGAUUACCUACUCAAGGUAAAGUAUAGUGAGAAGACUCACCUCGCGUAUCUCGAUAACUCGCAAAUCCCGGAAAUCACUCGCGCUCGAUCCUCCGAGCUAUAAUCCUCCUAUAACACAAUAUAUCUCUAAUUAACACUUUCUCAACUAAGGUUGACUACCCCUAUCAAGUCAACACUGGUCAACUCUGGUCAACGGUUAACUUUGACCGGACUCGGCGAGUGCACUAGAGCGACUCGGCGAGUCUAUACGUGUUCACUGACUCCCU